GAACGCGUGGAGCAAUCCACGAGUGGCGGACGGGUGAGUAACGCGUGGGAACCUGCCCUGGAGUGCGGAAUAACCGAGGGAAACUUCGGCUAAUACCGCAUACGACCUACGGGUGAAAGAUUUAUCGCUCUGGGAGGGGCCCGCGCCGGAUUAGCUAGUUGGUGGGGUAACGGCCUACCAAGGCAGUGAUCCGUAGCUGGUCUGAGAGGAUGAUCAGCCACACUGGGACUGAGACACGGCCCAGACUCCUACGGGAGGCAGCAGUGGGGAAUAUUGGACAAUGGGGGCAACCCUGAUCCAGCAAUGCCGCGUGGGUGAUGAAGGCCUUAGGGUUGUAAAGCCCUUUCGGCGGGGACGAUGAUGACGGUACCCGCAGAAGAAGCCCCGGCUAACUUCGUG
rnacentral:rRNA from 1 species